ACUUUCUUAGUAUAUUAAGUACCGCUGACUUCCAAUUAGCAAGAUCUGAAAAAACCCAGAAGAAAGUA
rnacentral:tRNA from 1 species